AUUGAACGCUGGCGGCAUGCUUUACACAUGCAAGUCGAACGGUAACAGGCCUUCGGGUGCUGACGAGUGGCGAACGGGUGAGUAAUGCAUCGGAACGUGCCCAGAGGUGGGGGAUAACGCAGCGAAAGCUGUGCUAAUACCGCAUGUGAUCUGAGGAUGAAAGCGGGGGACCAGGCAGCAAUGUUUGGCCUCGCGCCUUUGGAGCGGCCGAUGUCAGAUUAGGUAGUUGGUGGGGUAAAGGCCUACCAAGCCGACGAUCUGUAGCUGGUCUGAGAGGACGACCAGCCACACUGGGACUGAGACACGGCCCAGACUCCUACGGGAGGCAGCAGUGGGGAAUUUUGGACAAUGGGCGCAAGCCUGAUCCAGCAAUGCCGCGUGCGGGAAGAAGGCCUUCGGGUUGUAAACCGCUUUUGUACGGAACGAAAAGGCUCUGGCUAAUACCUGGGGCUGAUGACGGUAUCGUAAGAAUAAGCACCGGCUAACUACGUG
rnacentral:rRNA from 1 species